UCCUGGUUAACCCAGGCAGUCUCAUUAGAGUUCCCACCAUUACGUGUUGGCAACUAAUGAUAAGGGUUGCGCUCGUUGCGGGACUUAACCCAACACCUCACGGCACGAGCUGACGACAGCCAUGCAGCACCUGUGCAGCGGUCCCGAAGGAAGACUCUAUCUCUAGAGCUGUCCACUGCAUGUCAAACCUGGGUAAGGUUCUUCGCGUUGCAUCGAAUUAAACCACAUGCUCCACUGCUUGUGCGGGUCCCCGUCAAUUCUUUUGAGUUUCACCCUUGCGAGCGUACUCCUCAGGCGGUAUACUUAACGCGUUAGCUCCGGCACAACUGGGGUUGAGUCCAGUUACACCAAGUAUACAUAGUUUAGGGCAAGGACUAC
rnacentral:misc_RNA from 1 species